UACGGAGGGGACUAGCGUUGUUCGGAAUUACUGGGCGUAAAGCGCACGUAGGCGGAUUUGUAAGUCAGGGGUGAAAUCCCGGGGCUCAACCUCGGAACUGCCUUUGAUACUGCAAAUCUCGAGUCCGGAAGAGGUGAGUGGAAUUCCUAGUGUAGAGGUGAAAUUCGUAGAUAUUAGGAAGAACACCAGUGGCGAAGGCGGCAUCCUGGACCGAUACUGACGCUGAGGAGCGAAAGCCAGGGGAGCAAACGGG
rnacentral:rRNA from 1 species